AAGUAUUGCAAGGCCCCAGUUCACGGAAGUACCACAACAUAAGUUGGUCUUCACUUGGUCGAAGAGAGCAAAUGCACAUCCCUGUGUGCACGGCCACCUGGUUCCUCUCCUCACUUGCUGUGUGCCCGAGCACGUGUGGGAAGCGGGCGUGCACCGAGAACAACGAGUGCUGCCACCCCGAGUGCCUGGGCAGCUGCAGCGCGCCUGACAACGACACGGCCUGUGUAGCUUGCCGCCACUACUACUAUGCCGGUGUCUGUGUGCCUGCCUGCCCGCCCAACACCUACAGGUUUGAGGGCUGGCGCUGUGUGGACCGUGACUUCUGCGCCAACAUCCUCAGCGCCGAGAGCAGCGACUCCGAGGGGUUUGUGAUCCACGACGGCGAGUGCAUGCAGGAGUGCCCCUCGGGCUUCAUCCGCAACGGCAGCCAGAGCAUGUACUGCAUCCCUUGUGAAGGUCCUUGCCCGAAGGUCUGUGAGGAAGAAAAGAAAACAAAGACCAUUGAUUCUGUUACUUCUGCUCAGAU
rnacentral:sRNA from 1 species